rnacentral:rRNA from 1 species
CCUACGGGAGACAGCAGUGGGGAAUAUUGCACAAUGGGGGAAACCCUGAUGCAGCGACGCCGCGUGAGUGAAGACGGAAUUCGUUAUGUAAAGCUCUAUCAGCAGGGGAGAAAAUGACGGUACCUGAGUAAGAAGCCCCGGCUAACUACGUGCCAGCAGCCGCGGUAAUACGUAGGGGGCAAGCGUUAUCCGGAUUUACUGGGUGUAAAGGGAGCGUAGACGGCAGUGCAAGUCUGGAGGGAAAGGCGGGGGCUCAACCCCCGGACUGCUCUGGAAACUGGACGGCUGGAGUGCAGGAGAGGUAAGUGGGAAUGCGAGGGGAGCGGUGGAAUGCGUAGAUAAUAGGAGGGAAACCAGUGGCGAAGGCGGAUUACUGGACUGUAAAUGACGUUGAGGCUCGAAAGCGUGGGGUGCAAACAGGAAUAGAUACCCCUGGUAGUC